rnacentral:rRNA from 1 species
UACAUGGCAAGUCGAACGAGGUAGCAAUACCGAGUGGCGAACGGGUGAGUAACACGUAGGUAACCUGCCCUUAAGCUUGGGAUACCCAGAGGAAACUUGGCUAAUACCGGAUAACAACAGAGAAGGCAUCUUCUUUGCUUGAAAGGCCCCUUCAAGGGUCACUUAAGGAUGGACCUGCGGCGCAUUAGCUAGUUGGUGAGAUAACAGCCCACCAAGGCGAGGAUGCGUAGCCGAACUGAGAGGUUGAUCGGCCACAUUGGAACUGAGACACGGUCCAAACUCCUACGGGAGGCAGCAGUAAGGAGUUUUCGGCAAUGGGGGAAACCCUGACCGAGCAACGCCGCGUGAGCGAUGACGGCCCUAUGGGUUGGUUAAAAACGCUCUGUUGUAAGCCAUGAAUGAUAGCUUGAGGAAAUGCAAGCUAUUUGACGACAGCUUACCAGAAAGCCACGGCUAACUACGUGCCAGCCGCUGC